rnacentral:rRNA from 1 species
GACGAACGCUGGCGGCGUGCUUAACACAUGCAAGUCGAACGGAAAGGCCUGCUUUCCCUUGUGGAUUGCGGGUACUCGAGUGGCGAACGGGUGAGUAACACGUGAGUGAUCUGCCCCCAACUUGGGUAUAAGCCUGGGAAACUGGGUCUAAUUCCCGAUAGGACUGCAGGGUGGUGCCUGUGGUGGAAAACGAUUUUCUAGUGGUUGGGGAUGAGCUCGCGGCCUAUCAGCUUGUGGGUGGGGAAAUGGCCUACCAAUGCGGCGACGGGUAGCCGGUGUGGGAGAGUGGACGGCCACAGUGGGACUGAGACACGGCCCAGACGCCUACGGGAGGCAGCAGUGGGGAAGAAUGCACAGUGGGCGGAAGCCUGAUGCAGCGAGGCCGCGUGGGGGAUGACGGCCGUCGGGUUGUAAACUCCUUUCGACCGCGAGGAAGCCACCUGGUUGGAAGGGUGGUGACGGUAGUGGUAGAAGAAGCACCGGCUAACUACGUG